rnacentral:tRNA from 1 species
GGGGGGAUAGGUGAGUUGU